UACGUAGGGACCAAGCGUUGUUCGGAUUUACUGGGCGUAAAGAGCGUGUAGGCGGCCCGGUAAGUCCGCUGUGAAAGUCGGGGGCUCAACCCUCGGAUGCCGGUGGAUACUGUCGGGCUCGAGUACGGAAGAGGCGAGUGGAAUUCCUGGUGUAGCGGUGAAAUGCGUAGAUAUCGGGAGGAGCACCUGAGGCGAAGGCGGGCUACUGGGCUGAUACUGACGCUGAUGCGCGAAAGCCAGGGGAGCAAACGGG
rnacentral:rRNA from 1 species